ACGACUUGUAAUUGAACUUCAGAAAUUUCAUUCCAAAUUUCAGACGGCUCCGUCAAAAUUGUUACUCUAUAACAAUCGUCAAACUGCUUAACUGAAUCAUCAAAUCAUCAACUCCGGCAAGCUACCAUGUCGCCGAUACCUAUCACUAGAGAAGUUUCUUCGUCAUGCUACGAUUUUUCAAUUGAUGUUAAUGAUGAUGAGCAGAAGACAUCUUUCAGUCCUCAGAUUAGACCCAAACCGUCUUCAUGUUUCCCCUUGUCUCAUCAGCUACACGCGCCGCCUCCUGGAAAUCCAAUGGCCACACAAAGGCAGG
rnacentral:misc_RNA from 1 species